rnacentral:rRNA from 1 species
GAAAUUGAAAUCGCAGUGAAGAUGCUGUGUACCCGCGGCUAGACGGAAAGACCCCGUGAACCUUUACUACAGCUUGGCACUGAACAUUGAACCUACAUGUGUAGGAUAGGUGGGAGACUUUGAAGCAGAGACGCUAGUUUUUGUGGAGUCGUCCUUGAAAUACCACCCUUGUAGUUUUGAUGUUCUAACGUUGGCCCCUGAAUCGGGGUUACGGACAGUGCCUGGUGGGUAGUUUGACUGGGGCGG